ACGGCUCAGUACACGUGGAUACCUGCCCAAGGGUCUGGGAUAACCCCGGGAAACUGGGGAUAAAUACCGGAUAGAUCACUAUGCUGGAAGGGCUUGGUGGUUUAAAGGUAACGCCUUCGGAUGGGUCUGCGGCGGAUUAGGUUGACGCCGGUGUAAUGUACCGGCGUGCCUGUAAUCCGUACGGGUUGUGGGAGCAAGAGCCCGGAGAUGGAUUCUGAGACACGAAUCCAGGCCCUACGGGGCGCAGCAGGCGCGAAAACUCUACAAUGCAGGAGACUGCGAUAGGGGGACAUCGAGUGGCAUCCACCUUGGGUGCCUGUCCAACCGUCUAAAAAACGGUUGUUAGCAAGGGCCGGGUAAGACCGGUGCCAGCCGCCGCGGUAAUACCGGCGGCUCGAGUGGUGGCCGAUAUUAUUGAGUCUAAAAGGUCCGUAGCCGGCUUUGCGAGUCCCCUGGGAAAUCCAGCGGCUUAACCGUUGGGCUUUCAUGGGAUACUACAUUGCUUGGGACUGGGAGAGGUAGGAGGUACUCGGGGGGUAGGGGUGAAAUCCUGUAAUCCUCCGGGGACCACCGGUGGCGAAGGCGUCCUACCAGAACAGGUCCGACGGUGAGGGACGAAAGCUAGGGGCACGAACCGGAUUAGAUACCCGGGUAGUCCUAGCCGUAAACGAUGCCCGCUAGGUGUCACGACAGUCGUGAAUUGUCGUGGUGCCGUAGGGAAGCCGCGAAGCGGGCCACUUGGGAAGUACGACCGCAAGGUUGAAACUUAAAGGAAUUGGCGGGGGAGCAC
rnacentral:rRNA from 1 species